rnacentral:rRNA from 1 species
ACUCCUGCGGGAGGCAGCAGUAGGGAAUCUUCCGCAAUGGGCGAAAGCCUGACGGAGCAACGCCGCGUGAGUGAUGAAGGUCUUCGGAUCGUAAACCUCUGUUAUUAGGGAAGAACAAAUGUGUAAGUAACUAUGCACGUCUUGACGGUACCUAAUCAGAAAGCCACGGCUAACUACGUGCCAGCAGCCGCGGUAAUACGUAGGUGGCAAGCGUUAUCCGGAAUUAUUGGGCGUAAAGCGCGCGUAGGCGGUUUUUUAAGUCUGAUGUGAAAGCCCACGGCUCAACCGUGGAGGGUCAUUGGAAACUGGAAAACUUGAGUGCAGAAGAGGAAAGUGGAAUUCCAUGUGUAGCGGUGAAAUGCGCAGAGAUAUGGAGGAACACCAGUGGCGAAGGCGACUUUCUGGUCUGUAACUGACGCUGAUGUGCGAAAGCGUGGGGAUCAAACAGGAUUAGAAACCCUUGUAGUCCCAUGAU